UACCACCCCUACUGUUAACUCACACAGCACAGUUCUGUUAAUUAUUGGAAAGUUUUUUAAUGGAACAAUUUUAAUUAAAUUACAAAAGUUGUUUACCCGCUGCGGUACUUGGACACCCAGAAAGUAAAACAGAGUAGUGCUCGGGGACAGCAAUUGCACAGUAGCAGAAUCCGGGACAUCGGAGGCAGCGAGCCGCGACAAAGAAGUACACAAAGAGAGAUAGCCAGUGCAAAACCCGUUUCUUCCAACCGAUAAAAGGGGCGUCUAUAGCUCUGCCGAUCCGGAGCCCCUGGCAUUGCACCACUAUGAUGGUUGAGUCCGAUGGAACCGCCGACGCCACCCGCCGCCUGAACGUGAAGAAGCAAACGCUGGACGAUGCGUACGCCGUGCCCGCCAACUUCCUGGAGAUCGACGUGGUCAAUCCGCUGACCACCAUGGCGGCUGGCAAGAAGCGCUACACGGACUACGAGGUCCGGAUGCGGACCAAUCUGCCCGUCUUCAAGGUUAAGGAGUCCAGUGUGAGGCGACGCUACAGCGACUUUGAGUGGCUACGGAACGAGCUGGAGCGGGACAGCAAGAUUGUGGUGCCACCACUCCCAGGAAAGGCCUGGAAGCGGCAGAUGCCCUUCCGCGGCGACGAGGGCAUCUUCGACGAAAGCUUCAUCGAGGAGCGGCGCAAGGGACUGGAGGCCUUCAUCAACAAGAUAGCCGGACAUCCGCUGGCGCAGAACGAGCGCUGCCUGCAUAUGUUCCUGCAGGAGAAUGUCAUAGAUAAGAACUACGUGCCCGGCAAGAUUCGCAACACAUAAGCAGCUUAGUCCGGCGCAAUCGAAACCCCCUAACCAUAGCAAUGCAAUGAAGCAAAAACUCGAACGAACAAACCCGCUACGAAAUUUUUAGGGAAGCCGUGUGAAUGUGUGUGCUUGCCCGGACUGGAGGAGGAUGGAGCAGAGGAGCUAUGAUGUAGGUUGGAGUAGAUGGGAUCUGUUAUGCGACGCGAUACGAGGCGGGAAGUGCUGCUGCUCAGUUAAUGUUGAGCCCCUCUCACCCCCCGGGGAUUAGUUAAAAACGAGCAUUGGGAAUUUUUAAUGCUAAAUUCAAGUUUAUAUGUGUACAUAAGACAUGCCUACUACGCCCUCGCUAAAUGAGUCUCGAAAGUAGGAGCUGCCCCUCCCAUUUUCCCGACCCUCAGUUUCUUCGUUUUGAACCAUUGCAGCGGUAAUGAAGCAGCAAAUAAAAUAAGGGAGCCAUCCUGACCCCAAAAUCCAUCCCUUGUAA
rnacentral:misc_RNA from 13 species